rnacentral:lncRNA from 1 species
AUCCAGGUUAGCACCUCCUCCCCAGAUGCCACCAAUAGCCCUGGGUUCCUGUUGGGUGACAGGGUGAGGCUAUGGCUUUUGCCACAAGACCAGGUCAGGCAGGAUGACAAGGGGCACCAGGUGACGACGGAAGGGAAUGAGAUGAUCACAAUAUCGAGAGAGCUUAACCCAAGCAAGCAGAGGAUUUAAUAAACUCCUGGCCUAGCCUGCUGCCUGCAAGGUCACCACUUAUCUGGGUCUGCAGAGGGCUUGCAAGGCGCUGGCAGCCCUCCAACUAUGUUUGGGAGUUUUUACUCUAACCUAAGGCUGCCGGACUCCCACAUUUGACAUUUUCCAAGUGCUGCAAAUGGCGAGGCAGCAAGUGGGAGCAAUGAUCCUAACAGCCAGCAGGGAGAGGGGGAGCAGUUGUUGAGGUUUUCCAAGAGCCCCGGCAAGCGUGAGGGCUCCACGGCUUGAGCUACUCCACUGGGGAUGCUGCAAACACAGUGCUCACCGCUUGAGAGUCUUUUAAUUACAGCCCAAGUGGGGAAUAAUCAAGUUUUGCAAUGGGGAAAUGUUUGGGGUAGCGUUAUCAGAGCUCUGUCUCUGCUUGGUUGCCUUCUUCUCCACGUGCUAUCAUUCUGCACCGCCAUGGUGCAGGACCUUGCAGUGGAUCCUAUGCAUUUGAUUUCUGCAAAGCUAUGGGUCUGGGCUGCUGUUCCCAUUUUGCAAAGAAAUGGGACCAAAAAAAAAAGAGAUAUAUCAGUGAUGGAGAUUCAGCAAAAGAAGUUGUGGUCAUGAAUCCAGGUUUCUCAAUGUAAGAACAAACCACUCUGUGCCUUAAGCACAGUAGUCACUCAGGGUUAAGUGCAUGGAGUCACUGUAAUUAAAGAGCUGUAUUCGUUAAGAGAUGCGCUGCUAGAUGCACAAUAAUAAUUCCAAUGAGCUGAGGUGCUCUAUUUCUCAGCUGGGAAUAUUUCUGUUGUUGGAUGGAAAGUGCAGGGAAGAAAUCUACAGUGAAGAGAGGUUAAAAAUAUAAACUCACUUGUUGUUUUCUUUCCCUUCUUUCGCUCCUUUUAUCUGGCUGGAAAACAGGCUGUGCGGGACAGGGAGUAAAAGAAAACAAAAGAGGAAGGAAGAGUGGAAACAAAAGUGCUGUGUUUUACUCCUCCUCUCUCAAGGAAAGCAGUCCAGACAACCUCUUCCAAAACAUACUUUUUCACUCGAGAGAUGCCCCAUUGAAAAAUGUAUGUUUCUGGGAGAGGGAAUGAUGGAAGGAGAAGAGCGGCAGAGGAGAAACGGGAAGUGCUCGAGUACAAAUGGGAUUGGAAGUGCAAAGGGGGUUAUUUGUCAGAUAGGGAGGAUUAUUUUACAUCUCGACCACCUAUGCAACCACGUGCAUCUGCCUGAAUGAAAUGUUGGUUUAAUCAUCCUGGUCAAAGUCCUUUGGCUGCAGCCAUGGCUUGUUGUACUGUGGAUUAACAGGGGAAAAAUAAUUAAGGGAUUCCAUAUAUACAGUUUUUCUGGCUUUGGCAAGGAACCCCAGGGUCAGAGAAAAGCUCUGAUUUCAAACAACUGUAUUUUGAGUGAUCCUGUUUAUUUCAAGUGUCUGCUGAGGCUUUGACUCUGAGCUAUUAAUACAGAAUAAAUAAUUUUCACACGAG